rnacentral:lncRNA from 1 species
AUGACAUGGAUCUGGAGAGAUUCUCUUAGGAGAGAAUCUGGCUAAGUGUCUAGCAGGAUGAUUGAUUAACAAGAUGUUUUGUUUUCAUCAUCUCAGAGAGCUGUAUUGAGGUAUAAUUGAUAUGCCAAAUAACUGGACACAUUCAACUUGUGCAAUUUGAUGAGUUUGGAGAUACACAUACAUCUGUGAAACCAUCACCAAAAUCAAGAGAAAGUGGACUAUGAACAAUCGAAAGAAAG